UACGGAGGGGCGAGCGUUAUUCGGAAUUAUUGGGCGUAAAGGGCGCGUAGGCGGCCUUGUAAGUCAAAGGUGAAAUCCCUCGGCUCAACUGAGGAACUGCCUUUGAAACUGCAAGGCUUGAGGCCGGGAGGGGUAGCGGAAUUCCCAAUGUAGCGGGUGGAAAUGGCGUAGAUAUUGGGAGGAACACCAGUGGCGAAGGCGGCUACCUGGACCGGUUCUGAC
rnacentral:rRNA from 1 species